rnacentral:rRNA from 1 species
UUGCGUAGGUGGUAUGUUAAGUGGAGCGUGAAAGCGUGCGGCUCAACCGCAUUGUUGCGUUCCAAACUGACAAACUAGAGGACGAGAGAGGUUAUUGGAAUUCCCAGUGUAGGAGUGAAAUCCGUAGAUAUUGGGAGGAACACCGAUGGCGUAGGCAGAUAACUGGCUCGUUCCUGACACUAAGGCACGAAAGCGUGGGUAGCAAACG